ensembl:snoRNA
UGAUGGCUGUUCCUCUCCCUGCCUGGAGCCUUUGGCAGUGGGAUUUUGGUCCAUCAUAUAUCAAAGCUGGCUUAUCUUCACUCAGGGCACUAUGAGGAUAGGUUGGCUGUCCAUUAGUGCCUUCUGAUUUUUGCGGAGUCAAACAAUU